UACGUAGGUGGCAAGCGUUGUCCGGAUUUACUGGGCGUAAAGGAUGCGUAGGCGGACAUUUAAGUCAGAUGUGAAAUACCCGAGCUUAACUUGGGUGCUGCAUUUGAAACUGGGUGUCUAGAGUGCAGGAGAGGUAAGUGGAAUUCCUAGUGUAGCGGUGAAAUGCGUAGAGAUUAGGAGGAACACCUGAGGUGAAGACGGGUUGCUGGGCUGACACUGACGCUGAGUGCGCGAAAGCCAGGGGAGCAAACGGG
rnacentral:rRNA from 1 species